rnacentral:lncRNA from 1 species
GAUUGUCAUCUUCUCCAUUUCACUUUGCCGUAGCUCACACCAUAGAAGACCAAAUAUUUGUUUUGUCAUCCUUCCAUCAAAGCCAAGCCAAAACCUCACCAAAUCAAUUUCUUUCUUUAACCAAAAUUCAUCCUAAGACCUAGAUCUAAAGGAAGAGCCAUAUAUUGAAGGGAUUGAAGAAGAAAAGUUUAGGGUUCCAUUUACACCAAGCUUGAAAAUCAAAGGUAAGCUUAGAAAUGUGUAGGAAAUAACAUCUUCUCAUUUCUUCAUGCAUGGAUUUGAAUUAUAGAGCUUUAAUUUAUAGUUUAUUCAAUCCUUUCCUAAGACAUAAAUCUACCUAGGUGUAGGUGAAGGAACAUCAAGGGGAAAGGAGAUAGCUAGAGAUUAGAAGAGGAAAAGAAAGAAGGAAUCCAAGAAAGGUUUGGUGUUUGUAUGAUUUUCUGUUUUCCUUUGAUUUUGCCAUGAAUAAGUGAAAUUAGGGGUUGAUUUUAUUUGCUGUAAAUGUUGCUUUGAUUGUAUAAAUAUGUUAUAUGAAUGUUAAAAUGAUGUUUGAAAGGCUUAGAGUAAAGAAAUUUAACAUGAGAGCUGAAAGUGCAAAUCUGGCAGAAUAGGUUGUAACAGGGCAGCUUGUGUUGACAUCUUUAUAACUUAUUGUGUAUUUAUUGAAAUUAGGCCUAAGAUAUACCAAAUGAAAGCUGAGACAAAGAUCUAAAACUUUCAUGAAUUGACCAAAUUCUGAAUCUGUAGGUAAGAUGAUGAAAAUUUGAAGUGAACCUAAACUGGAUACAGAGUUAGUGCAUCCGGAACAGUGUGUAUUGAUUAUACUAUAACUAAUUAUGUACUCAGUGAAAUUUGUUAAUACCAGUGCCAAAUGAAUCCUAAGAAGUAUACCUACAACUUUGUAGAAGACACUUAAGCUUUAAUUUGUAUGGAAAUGUAUGAAUCUGAUAAUUUUUGUGAUACUAUAAACAGGUACUAAGACUGGACUGAUUAAGACCUGAUUGAGCAGCUUAUAAAGAAAAAUUCAUAACUUAAGUUAGGAUGAUCAGAAUUGCAUGAAUCAUACCUUGUUGGAAAGAUAAGACAUAAAUGUACAUUUCUUAUGAAGAAACUGAAGUUAAAUUAUAACUCUAAACUACUUGAAAAGUUGAUGCAAUAUAUGGCAGAAUGUAGUUUUCUACAUUAAAAUGCUAAGUCANNNN